CGCAGCGCUGCUCCGAGCGAAGGGUUCCGCCACCAUCGGGCCUCGCUUUAGGGAUUCCCACAGCUGUGUCCCGAGGGAUGACGAUAUCAGAGCAAACCCUGUGCUUAAAUCAAAGGGAAUGCGGAAUCUCAAGCAGCAGCUCUGAGGUUGGAGGAGGAUAAGGGUCAAAGCGCUGCGGGAAAGGAGGUAGAGGCGGUAACAGGGAUUGUGCCCCUCUGGCAGUGCCAGGCUGAGGUGUUGGGUUAUUUUUCCACCAGGUCGUUACAGGUUUGUGCCAUGGUUUUACUUACGUGAAUGGAAAGGGAAGGGAGAAGCUCUGCCUGCACCAGCCCUGUCUGCAGCAGCAUGGAGGUGUUGGGUGCUGCAGGGCUGUCCUGAGAGUCCUUUGUGCCUUUGCAGAUUUGUUUGAAUGCAGCAGGAUGAUCCCUGCAUCUACAGCCCGGUGCCCGCAGUCUCAGCGCACGCCGCGAGAUGGAGCUCGGCGCUGCACCGCUCUCCUCCCGCUCAGGGAUGUCUCCCAUCCGACACUCGGAGAGAACUGGAACAGCAUUACUCCAAACUUACUAGGAACGAGGAUAUUUUGCAAUAGAAACUUCUGCUCCAAGCUACUUAGCAACUGAUCGUCAAUAAAUCACUGCACUCAGGAGGAACUUGAAAAGCU
rnacentral:lncRNA from 1 species